rnacentral:pre_miRNA from 1 species
UAAUAAUAAUAAUAAUGAUGAUGAUGAUGAUUAUGAUGAUGAUGAUGAUGAUGAUGAUGAUCAUCAUCAUCAUCAUCAUCAUCAUCAGGGAAGAAG